rnacentral:rRNA from 1 species
GAUGAACGCUGGCGGCGUGCCUAAUACAUGCAAGUAGAACGCUGAAGGAGGAGCUUGCUCUUCUGGAUGAGUUGCGAACGGGUGAGUAACGCGUAGGUAACCUGCCUGGUAGCGGGGGAUAACUAUUGGAAACGAUAGCUAAUACCGCAUGACAACAGUUAUUGCAUGAUAACUGUUUAAAAGGGGCAACUGCUCCACUACCAGAUGGACCUGCGUUGUAUUAGCUAGUUGGUGAGGUAACGGCUCACCAAGGCGACGAUACAUAGCCGACCUGAGAGGGUGAUCGGCCACACUGGGACUGAGACACGGCCCAGACUCCUACGGGAGGCAGCAGUAGGGAAUCUUCGGCAAUGGACGGAAGUCUGACCGAGCAACGCCGCGUGAGUGAAGAAGGUUUUCGGAUCGUAAAGCUCUGUUGUAAGAGAAGAACGAGUGUGAGAGUGGAAAGUGCACACUGUGACGGUAUCUUACCAGAAAGGGACGGCUAACUACGU